AUGAAAGAGGAAUUUAGGGUUAAGAUGUGGCUCCUCAUCUUCUCAAUUGUCUUCGCCGUGAACAACGAACACCCGCCGCCGUUUAACUCCGCUCGGCCUCUCUCAAUCUCUCACCUUCGCCCAGACUUCUCCUUCCAUCGCCCGCUUCUGAUUUCCCCCUUCAAACGAUUCGGUAUACCAACAAGAUUUCCUCAUCUCUAUCACAACCUUCGCCUUCAUCCAUCGCGGUCUCGUUCGCGAUUCAAUCCUCUGUAA